rnacentral:lncRNA from 1 species
GUUGUCUACAGUUACAAGGGGGAUUGUUGGACUGAUUUGUGAUUUUUCUGGGAAUGCAACUCAAGUUAGAAGAGGCCAUUAUCUGAAAGAAGAAGAAGCACCAGCUGAUGUGUUGGUUAUUUUAGGGCGACAUUUGCAGUUGCUUGGGCAAUAUCAUGAGCCUCACCUCAUGCAGGUCUGGGUCCCAGACCCAAAGACUGCUCCUCCAUACUCAGAGAUACCAGCACUAACAGAGCAGCUCCUCUUCUUCAGUACAGAUGCUUCUCAACUUACAAUGAGG